AGAGUUUGAUCCUGGCUCAGGGUGAACGCUGGCGGCGCGCUUAAUGCAUGCAAGUCGAACGUGCCUUCGGGCAAGUGGCAGACGGCUGAGUAACGCGUGAGUAACACACCCUUCGGUGGGGUAUAGCCUCGGGAAACUGAGGGUAAUCCCGCAUACGAUCCCUAUUCCCUGGUGUUGGGAUGAAAGCCUUCGGGCGCCGGAGGAGUGGCUCGCGUCCUAUCAGGUAGUUGGUGAGGUAACGGCUCACCAAGCCGAUGACGGGUAGCUGGUCUUAGAGGACGAUCAGCCAGAGGGGGACUGAGACACGGCCCCCACUCCUACGGGAGGCAGCAGCAGGGAAUUUUGGGCAAUGGACGAAAGUCUGACCCAGCGACGUCGCGUGGGGGAUGAAGGCUCUAGGGCUGUAAACCCCUUUUCCGAGGGAAGAGGAAGGACGGUACCUCGGGAAUAAGCUCCGGCUAACUACGUGCCAGCAGCCGCGGUAAUACGUAGGAGGCGAGCGUUGUCCGGAUUUACUGGGCGUAAAGGGCGAGUAGGCGGUCUAUUAAGUCUCAUGUGAAAUCUCCCGGCUUAACUGGGAGGGGUCAUGGGAUACUGGUAGACUUGAGGGCAGUAGAGGAGAGUGGAAUUCCCAGAGUAGCGGUGAUAUGCGUAGAUACUGGGAGGAACACCCGAGGCGAAGGCGACUCUCUGGGCUGUACCUGACGCUGAGGCGCGAAAGCAUGGGGAGCGAACCGGAUUAGAUACCCGGGUAGUCCAUGCCCUAAACGAUGGAUACUAGAUAUGGGGGGUAUCGACCCCCCCCGUGUCGUAGCUAACGUGAUAAGUAUCCCGCCUGGGGAGUACGGCCGCAAGGCUAAAACUCAAAGGAAUUGACGGGCCCCCGCACAAGCAGCGGAGCGUGUGGUUUAAUUCGAUGAUAAGCGAAGAACCUUACCAGGGCUUGACAUGCUUCUGUAAUCUCGGGAAACCGAGCCCUCCUUCGGGACAGAUGCACAGAUGUUGCAUGGCCGUCGUCAGCUCGUGCCGUGAGGUGUUGGGUUAAGUCCCGCAACGAGCGCAACCCUUGUCGUUAGUUGUCUUUUUCUAGCGAGACUGCCCCUAAAAAGGGGGAGGAAGGUGGGGAUGACGUCAGGUCAGCACGGCUCUUACGUCCUGGGCUACACACACGCUACAAUGGCCGGUACAGAGGGUUGCCAAAGAGCAAUCUGGAGCUAAUCCCAAAAAGCCGGCCCCAGUUGGAAUUGCAGGCUGCAACCCGCCUGCAUGAACGUGGAGCUGCUAGUAACCGCAGGUCAGCACACUGCGGUGAAUACGUUCCCGGGGGUUGUACACACCGCCCGUCACGUCAUGGAAGUCGGUAACACUUGAAGUCGCUGGGCCAACCCUUCGGGGGGGCAGACGCCGAGGGUGGGAUCGGUGACUGGGACGAAGUCGUAACAAGGUAACC
rnacentral:rRNA from 1 species